GAGGUGGUAGUGCAGUGGUUGUAGGUGUGUGUUGUGAACAACAGGUCUUGGGUUCGAUCCCCAAGCCACCCCU
rnacentral:tRNA from 1 species